GACGAACGCUGGCGGCGUGCCUAAUACAUGCAAGUCGAACGCUUCUUUUCUACCGAGUGCUUGCACUCACUUGAAAAGAGGAGUGGCGGACGGGUGAGUAACACGUGGGUAACCUGCCCAUCAGAAGGGGAUAACACUUGGAAACAGGUGCUAAUACCGUAUAACAAUGAGAACCGCAUGGUUCUCAUUUGAAAGGCGCUUUCGGGUGUCGCUGAUGGAUGGACCCGGGGUGCAUUAGCUAGUUGGUGAGGUAACGGCUCACCAAGGCAACGAUGCAUAGCCGACCUGAGAGGGUGAUCGGCCACACUGGGACUGAGACACGGCCCAGACUCCUACGGGAGGCAGCAGUAGGGAAUCUUCGGCAAUGGACGAAAGUCUGACCGAGCAACGCCGCGUGAGUGAAGAAGGUUUUCGGAUCGUAAAACUCUGUUGUUAGAGAAGAACAAGUACCGUUCGAAUAGGGCGGUACCUUGACGGUACCUAACCAGAAAGCCACGGCUAACUACGUGCCAGCAGCCGCAGUAAUAC
rnacentral:rRNA from 1 species